rnacentral:rRNA from 1 species
CAGGCUUAACACAUGCAAGUCGAACGAUAUAGUGGCAGACGGGUGAGUAACGCGUGGGAACGUACCUUUCACUACGGAAUAGCUCUUGGAAACGAGUGGUAAUACCGUAUACCCCUUCGGGGGAAAGAUUUAUCGGUGAAAGAUCGGCCCGCGUUAGAUUAGCUAGUUGGUAGGGUAAUGGCCUACCAAGGCGACGAUCUAUAGCUGGUCUGAGAGGAUGAUCAGCCACACUGGGACUGAGACACGGCCCAGACUCUACGGGAGGCAGCAGUGGGGAAUCUUGCACAAUGGGCGAAAGCCUGAUGCAGCCAUGCCGCGUGAAUGAUGAAGGCCUUAGGGUUGUAAAAUUCUUUCGCUAGGGAUGAUAAUGACAGUACCUAGUAAAGAAGCCCCGGCUAACUUCGUGCCAGCAGCCGCGGUAAUACGAAGGGGGCUAGCGUUGUUCGGAAUUACUGGGCGUAAAGCGCACGUAGGCGGACUMUUAAGUCAGAUGUGAAAUCCCGGGGCUCAACCUCGGAACMGCAUYUGAAACUSGAAGUCUAGAGACCRGGAGAGGUUAGCGGAAUACCGAGUGUAGAGGUGAAAUUCGUAGAUAUUCGGUGGAACACCAGUGGCGAAGGCGGCUKACUGGA